rnacentral:rRNA from 1 species
AUUGAACGCUGGCGGCAUGCCUUACACAUGCAAGUCGAACGGCAGCGGACCUUCGGGUGCCGGCGAGUGGCGAACGGGUGAGUAAUAUAUCGGAACGUACCUUUCAGUGGGGGAUAACGUAGCGAAAGUUACGCUAAUACCGCAUAUUCUGUGAGCAGGAAAGCAGGGGAUCGCAAGACCUUGCGCUGAUUGAGCGGCCGAUAUCAGAUUAGCUAGUUGGUGAGGUAAAGGCUCACCAAGGCGACGAUCUGUAGCGGGUCUGAGAGGAUGAUCCGCCACGCUGGAACUGAGACACGGUCCAGACUCCUACGGGAGGCAGCAGUGGGGAAUUUUGGACAAUGGGCGCAAGCCUGAUCCAGCCAUGCCGCGUGAGUGAAGAAGGCCU